UUAUAUAAAGUAAAUUUUUUUUACAUUUAAUUUCGACUUAAAUUUAGGGUAGAAUUACCAUAUAUAAA
rnacentral:tRNA from 1 species